rnacentral:rRNA from 1 species
UUGAACGCUGGCGGCAGGCCUAACACAUGCAAGUCGAACGGUAACAGGAAACAGCUUGCUGUUUCGCUGACGAGUGGCGGACGGGUGAGUAAUGUCUGGGAAACUGCCUGAUGGAGGGGGAUAACUACUGGAAACGGUAGCUAAUACCGCAUAACGUCGCAAGACCAAAGAGGGGGACCUUCGGGCCUCUUGCCAUCGGAUGUGCCCAGAUGGGAUUAGCUAGUAGGUGGGGUAACGGCUCACCUAGGCGACGAUCCCUAGCUGGUCUGAGAGGAUGACCAGCCACACUGGAACUGAGACACGGUCCAGACUCCUACGGGAGGCAGCAGUGGGGAAUAUUGCACAAUGGGCGCAAGCCUGAUGCAGCCAUGCCGCGUGUAUGAAGAAGGCCUUCGGGUUGUAAAGUACUUUCAACGGGGAGGAAGGGAGUAAAGUUAAUACCUUUACUCAUUGACGUUACCCGCAGAAGAAGCACCGGCUAACUCCGUG